rnacentral:rRNA from 1 species
GCGAACGCUGGCGGCAGGCUUAACACAUGCAAGUCGAACGGGCACCUUCCUUCGGGCGGGUGUCAGUGGCAGACGGGUGAGUAACACGUGGGAACGUGCCCUUCGGUUCGGAAUAACUCAGGGAAACUUGAGCUAAUACCGGAUACGCCCCUCGGGGGAAAGAUUCAUUGCCGAAGGAUCGGCCCGCGUCUGAUUAGCUAGUUGGCGAGGUAAUGGCUCACCAAGGCGACGAUCAGUAGCUGGUCUGAGAGGAUGAUCAGCCACACUGGGACUGAGACACGGCCCAGA